rnacentral:rRNA from 1 species
GAGGAUCCAAGCGUUAUCCGGAAUCAUUGGGUUUAAAGGGUCCGUAGGCGGUUUUAUAAGUCAGUGGUGAAAUCCGGCAGCUCAACUGUCGAACGGCCAUUGAUACUGUAGAACUUGAAUCAUUGUGAAGUAACUAGAAUAUGUAGUGUAGCGGUGGAAUGCUUAGAUAUUACAUGGAAUACCAAUUGCGAAGGCAGGUUACUAACAAUGUAUUGACGCUGAUGGACGAAAGCGUGGGUAGCGAACAGGAUUAGAUACCCUGGUAGUCCACGCCGUAAACGAUGGAUACUAGCUGUUCGGUAGUAAUACUGAGUGGCUAAGCGAAAGUGAUAAGUAUCCCACCUGGGGAGUACGAACGCAAGUUUGAAACUCAAAGGAAUUGACGGGGGCCCGCACAAGCGGUGGAGCAUGUGGUUUAAUUCGAUGAUAUGCGAGGAACCUUACCAGGGCUUAAAUGUAGUAUGACAGGUUUGGAAACAGACUUUUCUUCGAACAUAUUACAAGGUGCUGCAUGGUUGUCGUCAGCUCGUGCCGUGAGGUGUCAGGUUAAGUCCUAUAACGAGCGCAACCCCUGUUGUUAGUUGCCAGCGAGUGAUGUCGGGAACUCUAACAAGACUGCCGGUGCAAACCGUGAGGAAGGUGGGGAUGACGUCAAAUCAUCACGGCCCUUACGUCCUGGGCUACACACGAGCUACAAUGGCAGGUACAGAGAGCAGCCACUGGGCAACCAGGGGCGAAUCUAUAAAGCCUGUCUCAGUUCGGAUUGGAGUCUGCAACCCGACUCCAUGAAGCUGGAAUCGCUAGUAAUCGGAUAUCAGCCAUGAUCCGGUGAAUACGUUCCCGGGCCUU